rnacentral:rRNA from 1 species
AUUGAACGCUGGCGGCAGGCCUAACACAUGCAAGUCGAGCGGCAGCGGGAAAGUAGCUUGCUACUUUUGCCGGCGAGCGGCGGACGGGUGAGUAAUGCCUGGGAAAUUGCCCAGUCGAGGGGGAUAACAGUUGGAAACGACUGCUAAUACCGCAUACGCCCUACGGGGGAAAGCAGGGGACCUUCGGGCCUUGCGCGAUUGGAUAUGCCCAGGUGGGAUUAGCUAGUUGGUGAGGUAAUGGCUCACCAAGGCGACGAUCCCUAGCUGGUCUGAGAGGAUGAUCAGCCACACUGGAACUGAGACACGGUCCAGACUCCUACGGGAGGCAGCAGUGGGGAAUAUUGCACAAUGGGGGAAACCCUGAUGCAGCCAUGCCGCGUGUGUGAAGAAGGCCUUCGGGUUGUAAAGCACUUUCAGCGAGGAGGAAAGGCCAGUAGCUAAUAUCUGCUGGCUGUGACGUUACUCGCAGAAGAAGCACCGGCUAACUCCGUGCCAGCCGCCGCAGUAAAAC